CCUUGAUAUCCUCUACCACCUUGAACAAGUUGUGGUACUUGAACAUGCACAACCUUCAAGAAAUAGAAGCAAUGGUGUUAUUUCAAAUGACAUCAUGACUGCCUUAGAUUAAAACUUGAAGGAGGUGACAUUCCCCAGAAAAGUUGUUCACCAUACCAUCCCAUGUUGGGUUGCCCCCCAGUCCAGAUCAACAGUUUGUUGAGGAAAAGCUUGGAAUUCAGUUGAUGCCUAUUCUUGCUGUGAAGAGGAGCAAUCUGAACUGAAGGGAGAACAGACUCCAAAGAAGAGUAGAUGUGAUGACACCAAGAAAGAGCAGCCACAUAUUACCUCGAGAGGUUAACCGGAAUGCAAAUCAACAGAAUAUGAUGCUGACCAAGUACCAGGAAGAGGUGUCCCCAUCACUGUAGACGACAAGUGAUGACAGUUAUCUUGAUGGACUACAGGAAUGAUUCAAGUGCAUUCAUUAUGCAGUUUACAGAUUUGUUUGAUGUAUUUUGAUAAUUG